UUACGGUCAAAUCAGGUUGAAGCACCGGUUCUCGUACGAUCACCAAAGUUGAGCAACGUAGAACGUCGUUAGUAUCUGGAUUGGGGAUCGCUUUGGAAUAGCAGGUGUU